GUGUCAGCAGCCGCGGUAAUACCGGCAGCCCAAGUGAUGGCCGAUCUUAUUGGGCCUAAAGCGUCCGUAGCUGGCCACGCAAGUCCAUCGGGAAAUCCACCUGCCCAACAGGUGGGCGCCCGGUAGAAACUGCGUGGCUUGGGACCGGAAGGCGCGACGGGUACGUCCGGGGUAGGAGUGAAACCCCGUAAUCCUGGACGGACCGCCGAUGGCGAAAGCACGUCGCGAGAACGGACCCGACAGUGAGGGACGAAAGCCAGGGUCUCGAACCGGAUUAGAAACCCCAGUAGUCC
rnacentral:rRNA from 1 species